ACCUGGCUGGCUCAGCUGAUGAAGUGUGAGACUCUUGAUCUUGUGGUUGUAGGUUCAAGCCCCACGUGGGGUA
rnacentral:tRNA from 1 species